UUUUUGAGCGUACCGGGUUUUCUCCAUGCUGUUUCUUACUCUCCUCUUUUACAGCCCUCCCAUUUCCCUCGUUUUUCUUUGAAAAUUUCUCCCCCCUCCAGUUCGCUGUCCUGCCCUCACAUGUGCGAGAGGGGCAGUGUGCCGUUAAUGGCCGUGCCGGGCACCGGGCCGCUCUGGUAGUGCUGGGACAUGUGCAGUCUGCUGGGGGCGGCGGGUUCCGGCACCUCGGCGCCGGGGAGAUACAUGCUGAUCAUGUCCCGGAGGUCCCCGGCCUGGCAGGGCGCCCUGGAGUGGGAGGAAGAGGUAACCACAGGGGGGCUGGAGCUGGCCUCGGACUUGACCACCGAACCCAUGGAACCAAGAGCCAUGCCAGGGGUGCCCUGCUGCGAGUAGGACAUGCUGUAGGUGGGCGAGCCGUUCAUGUAGGUCUGCGAGCUGGUCAUGGAGUUGUACUGCAGUGCGCUCACGUCGUAGCGGUGCAUGGGCUGCAUCUGCGCUGCGCCGUGCGCGUUGAGGCCCGGGUGCUGAGGGUAGCCCAGCUGGUCCUGCAUCAUGCUGUAGCUGCCGUUGCUCCAGCCGUUCAUAUGCGCGUAACUGUCCAUGCGCUGGUUCACGCCCGCGCCCAGGCCGGCGCCCACCCCGACCCCGCUCGCCAUGCUGUUGCCGCCGGGGGCCAGCAGCCCGCCGGGCAGCGUGUACUUAUCCUUCUUCAUGAGCGUCUUGGUUUUCCGCCGGGGCCGGUAUUUAUAAUCCGGGUGCUCCUUCAUGUGCAGCGCUCGCAGCCGCUUAGCCUCGUCGAUGAAGGGCCGCUUCUCCGUCUCCGACAAAAGUUUCCACUCUGCUCCGAGGCGCUUGCUGAUCUCCGAGUUGUGCAUCUUGGGGUUCUCCUGGGCCAUUUUGCGCCGCUGCCCGCGGGACCACACCAUGAAGGCAUUCAUGGGCCGCUUAACGCGGUCCGGACUGUUCUUCUGGUUGCCACCCGCCGCCGCCGCAGUAGAGUUGCCGCCGCCGCCGCCGCCCCCCGAAGUUUGCUGCGGGCGGGGGUGUCGGGAGCGCAGGGCUCCGCGAGGAAAAUCAGGCGAAGAAUAAUUUGGGGGAAAAAAAGAGAGAGGCAAACUGGAAUCAGGAUCAAAAAAGAGCUUCCCUCCUCCUCCGGCCGAUCCUGCCGCCGCCGAUGAUUGUUAUUAUUAUUUUUUGGAAAGGCUUAAGCCUGGGGCUCAAACUUCUCUCCCUUUCUUUCUCUCUCCUCUUCUUUCUCUCAGUCCUAGUCUUAAAGAGGCAGCAAACUACUUUCCCCCUUUUGCAAACACUCUCUUCUCU
rnacentral:lncRNA from 1 species